GACGAACGCUGGCGGCGUGCUUAACACAUGCAAGUCGAACGGAAAGGCCCUGCUUUUGUGGGGUGCUCGAGUGGCGAACGGGUGAGUAACACGUGAGUAACCUGCCCUUGACUGUGGGAUAAUUUAAGGAAACUGGGGCUAAUACCGGAUAGGAGCUCCUGUUGCAUGGUGGGGGUUGGAAAGUUUCGGCGGUUGGGGAUGGACUCGCGGCGGAUCAGCUUGUUGGUGGGGUGGUGGCUUACCAAGGCUUUGACGGGUAGCCGGCCUGAGAGGGUGACCGGCCACAUUGGGACUGAGAUACGAGCCAGAAUCCUACGGGAGGCAGCAGUGGGGAAUAUUGGACCAUGGGCGGAAGCCUGAUGCAGCAACGCCGCGUGCGGGAUGACGGCCUUCGGGUUGUAAACCGCUUUCGCCUGUGACGAAGCGUGAGUGACGGUAAUGGGUAAAAGAGCACCGGCUAACUACGUG
rnacentral:rRNA from 1 species